AUGGCGCAAAAAAAUAGUGGUAGAGGAAAACAUGAACCCAGGACUACACUUAGCCUCGCUCAAAUCAACACCUAUUCUAGCCCGCAACCUGUUCCCAACGUCUCUCAAUCCCAUGAGUUGUUGUUUCGCUCCAAUCCAAAUGCCCUGUUGGAAGCAUGGCAAUCAACUUGCUUUCUCUCUCUUCAUUUCUCGUUUCCGCUACGCUUCUCUGCAUCCACCUUUUAUAACAUGGUUAGGCUACGUGUAGAUGCGGCCAUUCCAUGGCUUCCCAUUAUUUAUGGCACUACAAUAAUGCUCUACUAA
rnacentral:rRNA from 1 species